rnacentral:rRNA from 1 species
ACGAGUGGCGGACGGGUGAGUAACACGUGGGUAACCUGCCCUUAAGUGGGGGAUAACAUUUGGAAACAGAUGCUAAUACCGCAUAAAUCCAAGAACCGCAUGGUUCUUGGCUGAAAGAUGGCGUAAGCUAUCGCUUUUGGAUGGACCCGCGGCGUAUUAGCUAGUUGGUGAGGUAACGGCUCACCAAGGCAAUGAUACGUAGCCGAACUGAGAGGUUGAUCGGCCACAUUGGGACUGAGACACGGCCCAAACUCCUACGGGAGGCAGCAGUAGGGAAUCUUCCACAAUGGACGCAAGUCUGAUGGAGCAACGCCGCGUGAGUGAAGAAGGCUUUCGGGUCGUAAAACUCUGUUGUUGGAGAAGAAUGGUCGGCAGAGUAACUGUUGUCGGCGUGACGGUAUCCAACCAGAAAGCCACGGCUAACUACGUGCCAGCAGCCGCGGUAAUACGUAGGUGGCAAGCGUUAUCCGGAUUUAUUGGGCGUAAAGCGAGCGCAGGCGGUUUUUUAAGUCUGAUGUGAAAGCCCUCGGCUUAACCGAGGAAGUGCAUCGGAAACUGGGAAACUUGAGUGCAGAAGAGGACAGUGGAACUCCAUGUGUAGCGGUGAAAUGCGUAGAUAUAUGGAAGAACACCAGUGGCGAAGGCGGCUGUCUGGUCUGUAACUGACGCUGAGGCUCGAAAGCAUGGGUAGCGAACAGGAUUAGAUACCCUGGUAGUCCAUGCCGUAAACGAUGAAUGCUAGGUGUUGGAGGGUUUCCGCCCUUCAGUGCCGCAGCUAACGCAUUAAGCAUUCCGCCUGGGGAGUACGACCGCAAGGUUGAAACUCAAAGGAAUUGACGGGGGCCCGCACAAGCGGUGGAGCAUGUGGUUUAAUUCGAAGCAACGCGAAGAACCUUACCAGGUCUUGACAUCUUUUGAUCACCUGAGAGAUCAGGUUCCCCUUCGGGGGCAAAAUGACAGGUGGUGCAUGGUUGUCGUCAGCUCGUGUCGUGAGAUGUUGGGUUAAGUCCCGCAACGAGCGCAACCCUUAUGACUAGUUGCCAGCAUUUAGUUGGGCACUCUAGUAAGACUGCCGGUGACAAACCGGAGGAAGGUGGGGAUGACGUCAAAUCAUCAUGCCCCUUAUGACCUGGGCUACACACGUGCUACAAUGGAUGGUACAACGAGUUGCGAGACCGCGAGGUCAAGCUAAUCUCUUAAAGCCAUUCUCAGUUCGGACUGUAGGCUGCAACUCGCCUACACGAAGUCGGAAUCGCUAGUAAUCGCGGAUCAGCACGCCGCGGUGAAUACGUUCCCGGGCCUUGUACACACCGCCCGUCACACCAUGAGAGUUUGUAACACCCGAAGCCGG